GGCACGAUGGCAGAGUGGUUAUUGCGUAAGACUAGAAUGACGCUUUAGUCUAGAGCAUCUUAUUCCUUCGGGAGCGUAGGUUCAAGUCCUACUCGUGUCG
rnacentral:tRNA from 1 species